UACGUAGGGGGCAAGCGUUGUCCGGAAUUAUUGGGCGUAAAGAGCGUGUAGGCGGUCCGGUAAGUCAGCUGUGAAAGUCAAGGGCUCAACCCUUGAAAGCCGGUUGAUACUGUCGGGCUAGAGUCCGGAAGAGGAGAGUGGAAUUCCUGGUGUAGCGGUGAAAUGCGCAGAUAUCAGGAAGAACACCCGUGGCGAAAGCGGCUCUCUGGGACGGUACUGACGCUGAGACGCGAAAGCGUGGGGAGCGAACAGG
rnacentral:rRNA from 1 species